rnacentral:misc_RNA from 1 species
AAAAAAACAGCCAGCAAUACUAUGUCAUUAUUAAAUGGGAGGACAAAACAACUAUGAUAAAGCAAGAACUUUGGAUUCAGAAAAACAAUAAAUAUAGCAGAAAAUUUACCCUUAAAAUAAAGAGUUGAUCAAAGGGGGCAGCAAGCUCUCCUCUCAUCUACUCUCAAAUAUUUCUAGAUCAAAAAGCCCAUGAAUGCCACAGAUCAAGCAUGAACAUAAAUAAAUUGAAUCAAGAAAAAAAAAUUGAGACCAGAUACUUGCUCAAAUCAGGACAAAUUGAAAUAAAAUACAACAGCAGAAGAAAAUAAAUUUCAGAUAAAGACAAGGUGAACCAAGAAGAGAACCCAAAGGUCAAGAUCGAUAGAAACGUUUCUCAAUAAAACCACUUAAAAACCAAAAUCUAUAGACCGUGCAUGUAGAUCUAUGAAACAAAUUGAUGGAAAGAAAAUCCAUAAAAUUCGAAGAAAAAAAAUACCUUGCGAUAGGUGGUGCCAUCA